ACAGUGAUACUAUAGAAACCACUAACAUAAAUGCAUGUUUUUUUAUUCGUAGAAAAGUACGAUUUUAUAAACAAAAACCAAAUGUUACAGAUCACUUAUUUUAUCAGCUAAGGCGCUCUUAUUUAUAGAGGUGCUUAGUUGUAAUAGACGAUCUUCGAAGUUUGGUUCUGUAUACACCGGUCACAACAAUAAUGGCGUCUGCAGCACGACUUUUCCUUCGAGGCGUAUACUCGAAACUUUCUGUCUCCAGUGUAUCGACGGUACCGCAAAGCCCAUUUGGACCUGCAUUGCUGAAACUGUCACCGAACUGCGACUCCAAUCCCAAAACACAGCGUAGACAUGCAGCACACUUUACCUUCCAGCCCGACCUCGUCCCGACCCAGUAUGGACCAACACAGAAGAUGAAUUUUUUCCAGUCAAUUACGAGUGCCUUGGACAACACUCUUUCAAGUGACCCCACAGCAGUCAUCUUUGGGGAAGAUGUGGCGUUCGGUGGAGUGUUCCGAUGCACAGUCGGUCUGAGAGACAAAUACGGUAAGGAUCGAGUCUUCAACACUCCACUUUGUGAGCAGGGAAUUGUGGGAUUCGGUAUUGGUGUAGCUGUGGCAGGAGCCACAGCUAUUGCUGAGAUCCAGUUUGCAGACUACAUCUAUCCCGCAUUCGACCAGAUUGUUAAUGAAGCUGCGAAGUACCGCUACCGCUCUGGUAACUUGUUUGAUUGUGGCAACCUCACCAUUCGGGCUCCCUGGGGAUGUGUCGGCCAUGGAUCCCUCUACCAUUCCCAAAGCCCAGAGGCUUUCUUCGCCCAUUGUCCGGGCAUUAAGGUUGUAGUACCUCGCAGCCCAGUGCAGGCCAAGGGUCUACUUCUCUCCUGCAUCGCUGAUAAGAAUCCCUGCAUUUUCUUUGAACCCAAGAUCCUUUACAGAGCAGCAGUGGAGCAGGUUCCCACAGAAGCCUACACUAUUCCACUCUCACAGGCGGAGGUUGUGGAGGAAGGAAGUGAUGUCACAUUGAUCGCCUGGGGUACUCAGGUACAUGUGAUGAAGGAAGUGGCACAAAUGGCUCAGGAGAAACUGGGUGUAUCCUGUGAGGUCAUUGACCUUCGCACUAUCCUGCCAUGGGAUGUUGAAACUGUUUGCAAGUCGGUGGUGAAAACUGGACGUUUGGUCAUUAGUCAUGAGGCCCCAAUAACUGGAGGAUUUGCUGCUGAAAUCAGCUCUACAGUACAAGAGGAGUGUUUCCUUAAUUUGGAGGCUCCCAUUACUAGGGUGUGUGGUUAUGACACUCCCUUCCCUCAUAUUUUUGAACCAUUCUACAUCCCAGACAAGUGGAAGUGCUUUGAUGCAAUCAAGAAGAUGAUCAACUUCUAAAGUGGAAUAUGAAAGAUCAGGCACUGGUGACAGCAGUUUCCACUUCUCAUUGAAAAAGCAGAACUGCAACUGGAGGUCUAUGUCGAGUUCUUUAACCUGAAAUAUAAUCCAUUUCAACAUUAGACAGUGAAGGGAUUGUCAUAUCUUGCUUUUCUCCAAACCAUAGGGUUAAAUCUGUAUUUGAGGACAACAUUGUCUGUGGGAAGAAGUACUGUGUGCAUGUUGGGAAACUGACAAUAGCCGCAGUCUGUCCUCCCAGAGACAUGUUUCCACUGCAUCUGUCUUCCCAGCCCUCUUUUCCAGCUCAGACUUGGAAUGGAUCACUGAAUUACAAGAAAGUAAUGCUAAACUGGAUAUUUAUUAUAUUCCCAUUUUGUGAGAAUGUGAUAACUUUGUUGGACAUUUAUAAAAGGCAGUGAGUUCAGCA